rnacentral:ncRNA from 1 species
UAACCACUGACGAUAAUCGUGAAUGUUN